UCGAUAUCAGAAGACCAAAAAAAGUGGAGCUGUGCUUCCCUAAAUCAAAUGUACAAGACGCAUCACGGCACCAAGUGGAUUUUGAGAAAGGACAUUUAAUUCCAUGAGGAACAUCAACAUAAGUGCACUUUCAUUUUUAGUACACUUCUUGUGAACACACAUAACCCUGGAGGGAAAAAAAUGUAGGUAACAGACAGAAAGAGAGAAGGAAGGAGGUUAGAAACUUUAAGAGAAAAGUGAGGAAGAAAAACAACACGACAUUCACGUUUUGAAACGGCUCAGAGAAACCGUCCCGGCUCGGGGACACGGAUAAUAAAUACACUCACAGUCGUCAUGGUGGAGCUGGUGCAUUAGAGUCCAAAAGUGUCCAACAGAGCGUCAUCGCUCCUAAAAUUGUCCCGAAACAUUUCAACGUGUAAAGCAACAAUGAUGCAGCAGUUUAUGGACAGCCACCAUGUAGUACUGGAGGGACGGCUUCUUUUACUGGGAGUGGGGCGGUGUGGAUGAGCAGCCAGGAGCUGCAGUUUCCAA